rnacentral:rRNA from 1 species
AUACGGAGGGGGCUAGCGUUGUUCGGAAUUACUGGGCGUAAAGCGCGCGUAGGCGGUGUAUCUAGUCAGUGGUGAAAGCCCUGGGCUCAACCCAGGAAUUGCCUUUGAUACUGGUACACUUGAGUCCGGGAGAGGGUAGUGGAAUUUCCAGUGUAGAGGUGAAAUUCGUAGAUAUUGGGAAGAACACCGGUUGCGAAGGCGGCUACCUGGACCGGUGCUGACGCUGAGGUGCGAAAGCGUGGGGAGCAAACAGGAUUAGAAACCCCAGUAGUCC